UCCAGGAGCUGCACGGACAAUUAUGCUUUUGAAAUUCUCCUCCGAUGUGUUGCUAACGACGUCAAGAAACGAAGGGACGAAGAAGCUCUUAGAUAGGUUUCUUAGUGUAAUUGUGAUUUAGAGAAAAAGAAAAAUGUAAUUAUCACAAAAGACGUCUCUCCGUGUCUUAGGGACACGUGUUGCUCUCACGAUAGAAAAAAAAUCUGAAGUCUUUCGUCUCUUCUCUUCCUCUCUUCGUCGACGUUAACUGGAGACCGUCUCGUCCUCGCUCGUUGGCGGAACAUGUGUGGCCAUCGCUGGAUCCGAUUACUGCGUCAUCGCCGUCGAUACUCGGAUGUCUACCGAUUACAGAUUACUCUAAGAUCCAUAAAAUAGCAGACAAGGCUGUGCUCUCUUCCUCUGGCUUUCAAGCUGAUGUGAAAGCGCUUCAGAAAGUUCUCAAUUCAAGGCACUUGGUUUAUCAGCAUCAGCAUAACAAGCAGAUGAGCCAUCAAGACCUCCAAGAACAUUAAAGGCAUAGUAAGUGUUUCAUUUCGACCAAGGCUGCAACCACCAUUGCGACUACAGAGAGGACGAGUCCUCUUCCAAUGCGUUGGAGAUGGGUUACGCCUGUUUCGGUUUUGGUUGUUUUUCUAGCGAGAGGGAGGAGGAGGUGGUUGUACGUUGGAGGUAAGAUCAUUGUGAAGACGACUGGGAAUACAGGUAAUGCCGCAGGUGGGACGGUUAUGACCCGAGCUUAGUGUUCAUCGUUGAAGCUUGCUGGAUGGAGCGCGUCGAGAGCUGAGCUAGACAGCAGUUAAGCAUAAUGGUCGACAUGAAAAUUGGUAAAGUCUUGAUGACUAUCUUCACGUCUUUCACUUGUUACUCCGUGCAACGGAGCGGUCCAGGUAAGGAUUCACGCUCUCUCAAGGCUUCAUCGAGGAACGAUCCAUCUCCCUCCACAUUUCCCUUGGCUAUAUUGUCUUUGCAUUCGUUUCUUGUAUGACACUUCAUUUUCUAUCCUUCUCACCAUACAAAACGAGCAACACAUUUGAUCAAAACAACAACAUUUUCUUUCCGUCGCACCA